CGGUGGUCCCACCUGACCCCAUACCGAACUCAGAAGUGAAACGCCGUAGCGCCGAUGGUAGUGUGGGGUCUCCCCAUGCGAGAGUAGGGAACUGCCAGGC
rnacentral:rRNA from 1 species